AUAAUAAUUGUAUGGCAAACUACUCGGUGUGAUCAAUAAACCCAAUUUGUUUAUUAGCGAAACAUAUUGACACGGCUGCCAAAAUGAUCGGAUGCCCUUCUUUUCAUUUUGUCCAAUUGUCAACUAUGCGCGCGUGUGUGUGUGUGCGUGCGUCCGUGUGUGCGUGCGUGUGUACCGAUCUUCGCGUAUCAAAAACUUGUCGGGUCAUGCAGACAACAAUAGUCCAUGGUGGACGAUAAGUUAGAUACCUAAGUAGGGUACGGUAUGAUUGACUAUAUAAAGAUGAAAUAUGUGAUGAAUAGCGUUGGAUACUAGGGAGCCCAAAACAUGAGGUCUUGCCAAAGGGUCGCAGGGCCCGUGCGGCUCAAGUCCGUGUGCCACCUCUGCUUUUCUUUUCUUUUUUCUUCUUUCUCAUCUGUAAACAAUAUGUUAGAUAUAUUUAUUACAUCUAACUCGUUCGUGCUCUAUCAUUCAAGAGAUGUCAAACUCGUUGGACGACUUAUGUUGGAGAAUUUUGUGACCACAGAGCGGUCGGUGGUCGUAAAAUUGUGCCAGCUAUAUACGAAUACGUAUGCAUAGGUAUAACGAGUUGAUUCUUUCAUUGCAUUUCACUCUGUUCACGGGCAUGGACUCAUAGUGUGUACAGUUGACGAGAGAUAUUUAUCUU